CGGUGAAACCGCGAAUGGCUCAUUAAAUCAGCUAUGGUUUAUUGGAUCGUAAUCGUUAAAUGGAUAACUGUAAUAACUCUAGAGCUAAUACAUGCCACGAAGCCCUGACCUCGGGCGCUUCACGCGUCUGGGGAAUGGGUGCACUUAUUAGAUCAGAAGCCAACCAGCGCUUGUACGGGCAACUGUGCAGGCGCUGUAGCACUUCUGGUGACUCUGGAUAAUUGUUACAGAUCGCAGUCGGCUUUACGUCGGCGACGGAUCCUUCAAAUGUCUGCCCUAUCAACUUUCGAUGGUAGGUGACCUGCCUACCAUGGUGAUAACGGGUAACGGGGAAUCAGGGUUCGAUUCCGGAGAGGGAGCCUGAGAAACGGCUACCACUUCCAAGGGAGGCAGCAGGCGCGCAAAUUACCCACUCCCGGCACGGGGAGGUGGUGACGAAAAAUACCGAUGCGGGACUCAUUUAAGAGGCUCCGUAAUCGGAAUGAGUGGACUCUAAAUCCUUUCACGAGGAUCAAUUGGAGGGCAAGUCUGGUGCCAGCAGCCGCGGUAACUCCAGCUC
rnacentral:rRNA from 1 species